AGCAUCAAUUCAGCUAAUACAAGUAUUAUAUAAAAAAAUUAUUUGUGUACAAUUUAAAAAAAUACACAUAAUAUUUACUUACAAUAAAUCGUGAGUUCAUUCUUUUUUAAAGAAAUAUUGUACUUGUCCUCAAACCAUUUUUUUUGUCAAAUAAAUUACAACAAUGUUUGUAACAUGGGUAGUUUUCAUUAAUUUUUUCUAAAAGUAAUGCGUGCCACUGAUUUGAUGUAUUCAAAUUCAAAUCAAACAAGUUUGAUGAGAUAAUGAUAGUGACUUUUAAAGUUCUAAUCAGUUAGAUAUAAAUCUUAAUAGAAAUAUUUGAAUAGUACCAAAUUUAGUGAUAUUACGAACAUUGAUUUUUAAAGUUGAAUUUAAAUUAAUAUUUUGUAUUUGUACCCGAACCAACAAAAUAUUCAAAUAUUUUAUCAAAUUUAAAACAAGUUGGUACUGGUUUAGUUGUCAUCCACCUACGAAGUAAUCUUCUACCAUUAAGAUUUAGUUGAAGUCCGUUACUUUUAUAUCUUUUAUUUUAACUCUUCAAUGCCCAUUGUAAUAAAUAUAUAACAUGUUAAAACAUACUAUGUUUCCCCAAUACAUAUGAAUUACAAAAAAUGCAUUGCGCUGUCUAACGUAUAAUUUAAGUUCUAAUCUAUGUUUUUUAUCGAUACACGCAUGCAAACGUUAUCAAUUUCCAUUUUGUAAUGCAAUCUAAUUUUU